UCGAUUGAGGAAUCAGCAUCGGCUAACUCCGUGCCAGCAGCCGCGGUAAUACGGAGGAUGCAAGCGUUAUCCGGAAUGAUUGGGCGUAAAGAGUCCGUAGGUGGUGAUUCAAGUCGAUUGUUAAAGAGCGGGACUUAACCCCGUAGAAGCAGUGGAAACUGAAUCGCUAGAGAGAGGUAGGGGUAGAGGGAAUUCCCGGUGUAGCGGUGAAAUGCGUAGAGAUCGGGAAGAACACCAGUGGCGAAGGCGCUCUACUGGGCCUCAUCUGACACUGAGGGACGAAAGCUAGGGGAGCGAAAGGGAUUAGAUACCCCUGUAGUCCUAGCUGUAAACGAUGGAUACUAGGUGUUGUCUGUAUCGACCCGGACAGUGCCGUAGCUAACGCGUUAAGUAUCCCGCCUGGGGAGUACGCACGCAAGUGUGAAACUCAAAGGAAUUGACGGAAUCACUA
rnacentral:rRNA from 1 species